rnacentral:rRNA from 1 species
UACGUAGGGUGCGAGCGUUGUCCGGAAUUACUGGGCGUAAAGAGCUCGUAGGUGGUUUGUCGCGUUGUCCGUGAAAACUCACAACUCAAUUGUGGGCGUGCGGGCGAUACGGGCAGACUGGAGUACUGCAGGGGAGACUGGAAUUCCUGGUGUAGCGGUGAAAUGCGCAGAUAUCAGGAGGAACACCGGUGGCGAAGGCGGCUCUCUGGUCUGUAACUGACGCUGAGGUUCGAAAGCGUGGGUAGCAAACAGG